rnacentral:lncRNA from 10 species
GCUGCACAGGCUCCAGGAGUGCUCCCAGAUGCUGCAAGAAUGCAGGCAGGGAGGGGACUGAAAAGUGGGAUGGCCCUUGGCUUGGUCACUUCCUGCUGCUGAGGGAAUCAGGUGUGUUCUACGAGGCUCUCCAGGCAUCAGCUUCACAGAGAGAAUCUUGAUGCCCAACAAGGACAGCAUUUUCAGAGAUGUACCCUUACAAGGGGUCCCCAUACAAGAUUGAAAUGAUAAAGAACUGAAGAUCCAAAGCCAGAGAAUGAUAAAGUAACUUCAACCUGACACAGUAAAACAUUGCAGGGAGAGUCCGGGAUCUGGAAUGAGAAUGCCACGUCCAGGCUGUGUUACCUUACAAAAAUUAUUAAUGCUUCAGUGGCCUCAUCUGCAGAAUGGAAAUACCAAUAAUAGUAGCUAUCUGAUAAGGUUAUUGUGGGGAUAGUAGGAGACAAUCCAUAAUAAUGUUUGAGUAGUAGCUGGCACAUUGUAGAUACUCAACAUACGCCAGCUAUUAUUGUUAUAGAAAAUAUGCAGAUCUGGAAUAGCUUGGAAAAUGUUUAUGAUACAAUAACAAAUUCAAAAGAAGUCUACUAAAUACUGUGUAUUUUAUGAUUGCAAUUUUGUAAAAACUAUAUCUGCUUAUGGAAAAAGAUUUGAAGAAAAUAUGCUUAUGUGAAAAGAAUUUCUUACAGUGAUGGGAUUACGUGUAGCUUUAUUUAUUUAUUUGAGACCAGGUCUCACUCUGUUGCCCAGGCUGCAAUACAGUGGUGUGACACCAGCUCCCUGAAACUCCUGGGCUCAAGUGAUCCUCCUGCCUCAGCCUCUUGAAUAACUGGGACUACAGGCAUGUGCCACCAUGCCCGGCUAAUAUUUAAUUUUUUUGUGGAGACAGAGUCUCCCUAUGCUGCCAUGCUGGUCUUGAACUCCUGGGCUCAAGCGAUCCUCCAG